rnacentral:misc_RNA from 1 species
GAGAAGAUUUUCUUGCAGGCCCAUAGAAUCAAAACUAUCGUAAACUUCAUCGUAUGAGGUGAAGAAAUCCUGUCCAUCAGCUGAAAGUAACUCAUUCAUUUUUGUGUCAUACUGACGUGCAUCAAAUUGAGAACCUUCUGGAGCCAAACCAGCCAUAUCUGUAGAUCAGUGAGAGCGAAGGAUUGGAAGAAGUUUUGAGAGCGUUGGAAGAUGGCGAGAGAUUCACAAACUCCUCGGAUCUGCGCCGUGGAGUUGAAAAGGAG